rnacentral:rRNA from 1 species
UACAGAGGGUGCGAGCGUUAAUCGGAUUUACUGGGCGUAAAGCGUGCGUAGGCGGCUUUUUAAGUCGGAUGUGAAAUCCCCGAGCUUAACUUGGGAAUUGCAUUCGAUACUGGGAAGCUAGAGUAUGGGAGAGGAUGGUAGAAUUCCAGGUGUAGCGGUGAAAUGCGUAGAGAUCUGGAGGAAUACCGAUGGCGAAGGCAGCCAUCUGGCCUAAUACUGGCGCUGAGGUACGAAAGCAUGGGGAGCAAACAGG